rnacentral:rRNA from 1 species
GAUAAACGCUGGCGGCGCACAUAAGACAUGCAAGUUGAACGGACUUAAUCGAAAUAUUUAUAUUUUGAAGCGGUUAGUGGCGGACUGGUGAGUAACGCGUAAGGAACCUGCCUAUUAGAGGGGAAUAACAGUGAGAAAUCAUUGCUAAUACCGCAUAUGCCAUAGAUAUCACAUGAUAACAGUGGGAAAGGAGCAAUCCGCUAAUAGAUGGCCUUGCGUCUGAUUAGAUAGUUGGUGGGGUAACGGCCUACCAAGUCGACGAUCAGUAGCCGGACUGAGAGGUUGAACGGCCACAUUGGGACUGAGAUACGGCCCAGACUCCUACGGGAGGCAGCAGUCGGGAAUAUUGCGCAAUGGAGGAAACUCUGACGCAGUGACGCCGCGUAUAGGAAGAAGGUUUUCGGAUUGUAAACUAUUGUCGUUAGGGAAGAGAAAGGACAGUACCUAAGGAGGAAGCUCCGGCUAACUUCGUG